rnacentral:ribozyme from 1 species
UGCCCAGCGACUCCUAUCCCUACCUCCUCGUGGAACCGGCCGGAAUGAGCAACCUUAGGGAAGAUCGGGUAACCAACCCCAACUUUGGUUGUAGGCAGACAGGGAAGG